AACGAACGCUGGCGGUAUGCCUAACACAUGCAAGUCGAACGAUAGCCCUCGGGUGACUGUGGCUCACGGGUGCCUAACGCGGGGGAAUCUGCCAUUACGUUCGGAACAACAGUUGGGAACGGCUUCUCGUACCGGAACAUACCGUAAUAUCAAAGAUUUCGCGCCUGAGGAUGAGCGCGCGAUGGAUUAGGUAGUUGGUGGUGUGAAGGCGUACCAAGAGGACGAUCUAUAGCUGGUCAGAGACGAUGAUCAGCCACACUGUGACUGAGACACGAGCGGGACACAUAGGAGAAGCAGCAGAGGGGAAUAUUAGACAAUGGGCGCAAGCCUGAUCCAGCAAUGCGUCGUGAGUGAUGAAUGCCGGAGGGUAGUAAAGCUCGGUUACCAGGGAAGAUAAUGACUGUUCCGGGAGAAUAAGCCCCGGGUAACUCCGGG
rnacentral:rRNA from 1 species